rnacentral:rRNA from 1 species
AAAUUGAAGAGUUUGAUCAUGGCUCAGAUUGAACGCUGGCGGCAGGCCUAACACAUGCAAGUCGAACGGUAACAGGAAGAAGCUUGCUUCUUUGCUGACGAGUGGCGGACGGGUGAGUAAUGUCUGGGAAACUGCCUGAUGGAGGGGGAUAACUACUGGAAACGGUAGCUAAUACCGCAUAACGUCGCAAGACCAAAGAGGGGGACCUUCGGGCCUCUUGCCAUCGGAUGUGCCCAGAUGGGAUUAGCUAGUAGGUGGGGUAACGGCUCACCUAGGCGACGAUCCCUAGCUGGUCUGAGAGGAUGACCAGCCACACUGGAACUGAGACACGGUCCAGACUCCUACGGGAGGCAGCAGUGGGGAAUAUUGCACAAUGGGCGCAAGCCUGAUGCAGCCAUGCCGCGUGUAUGAAGAAGGCCUUCGGGUUGUAAAGUACUUUCAGCGGGGAGGAAGGGAGUAAAGUUAAUACCUUUGCUCAUUGACGUUACCCGCAGAAGAAGCACCGGCUAACUCCGUGCCAGCAGCCGCGGUAAUACG